AAAAGACUGAGGUUGAAAAAAAUCAAAAGAGAAAAUUUCUUUGGAAAAAAAUGCUGAGUAUUUUACUUCUCCUUGGAUGAAGAUCUAAGGAGAUUCUGAAGGCUUUUAAUUUGAGCAAUGAUAUCAUUAUAUUCUGGGAUUUUCAUCUUUGAUCAUUUUGGGCAGCAAUUGUGACGAAUAGAUUGAAUAAGGAAGAAACUAGAAAUAGGAAAACCAGUGAAGAGACAAAGGAAUAUUAUUCAGUGCUAAAAAGAAAUAAGCUAUAAAGCCAUGAAAAAGAGGGAACUGAAACGCAUAUUACUAAACAGAAGAAGCCAAUUUUAAAAGGCUAUAUACUGUAUGAUUCCAACCAUAUGACAUUCUGGAAAAGGUAAAACUAUGGAGACAAUAAAAAGAACUGACUACGAACAGGGAAAGAAACCAGCAGUGAAUGGGAGGAGCCAUGAGAUAACUGAUCACCUGAAUAAUCAAGAAUAAGUAAUAGUCCUCAGAAGGAAACAGCUUUCCUGCGGUGAAUGAGGAGGAUGCUUUGUUCUACGCGACCCUUCUUGAUUAGAAGGACCUCUGUUCUAUGAAACAAUCAGCCUGACAGCCCAUUAAGUGUUACAGCAUUGGGGACCACUUCAGGCCAUCAGUAGCUUUGGGCAAACCAUUUGACAUUGUGGAGCUUCAAUUUCUUCACCAGUAAAGGACUCAGUUUAUUUAUUUUUAAGUACCCUAAUAUACCUGAAUUCUUUAUCACAACCUUUGGACUGCCAUUUAUACAAUGACUUUGCUAUUGCACUUCACUGGAAGAAUUGGGGAAUUAAAUUCUCAUAUUUUCCUCUUCGAUUAUCUACUUUUGGGAAAAUGUCUUAUUUGCAAAUCCACUGGUGAAGCAAAGAUGGUGCUUAUGCCUCCCUAUGCCCUUAUCAGAAGGAGAAGUGCACUUUCUUUCCAGUCUUUCCACACUACUGAGUUCUCUUAUGGCUUUUGGAAUUAGCACAGAAUAUCUGUAAUAUCAGAAAUAUGUAGAAAUGUA